rnacentral:rRNA from 1 species
GAAUAUUGGACCAUGGGGGGAACCCUGAUCCAGCCAUGCCGCGUGUGUGAAGAAGGCCUUUUGGUCCUUAAGCCCUUUAAGCGGGGAGUAGGAGCUCUUGGUUAAUACCCAACAUCCUUGGACGUUACUCCCCGAAUAAGCCCCGGCUAACUCUGUUCCUGCAGCCGCGGUAAUACAGAGGGUGCAAGCGUUAAUCGGAUUUACUGGGCGUAAAGCGCGCGUAGGUGGCCAAUUAAGUCAAAUGUGAAAUCCCCGAGCUUAACUUGGGAAUUGCAUUCGAUACUGGUUGGCUAGAGUAUGGGAGAGGAUGGUAGAAUUCCAGGUGUAGCGGUGAAAUGCGUAGAGAUCUGGAGGAAUACCGAUGGCGAAGGCAGCCAUCUGGCCUAAUACUGACACUGAGGUGCGAAAGCAUGGGGAGCAAACA